rnacentral:rRNA from 1 species
UACGGGGGGGGCAAGCGUUGUUCGGAAUUACUGGGCGUAAAGGGCUCGUAGGCGGCCAACUAAGUCAAACGUGAAAUCCCUCGGCUUAACCGGGGAACUGCGCUUGAUACUGGAUGGCUUGAGAUUGGGAGAGGGAUGCGGAAUUCCAGGUGUAGCGGUGAAAUGCGUAGAUAUCUGGAGGAACACCGGUGGCGAAGGCGGCUACCUGGACCAGCACUGACACUGAGGCACGAAAGCGUGGGGAGCAAACAGG